rnacentral:rRNA from 1 species
GACGAACGCUGGCGGCGUGCCUAAUACAUGCAAGUCGAACGAACUCUGGUAUUGAUUGGUGCUUGCAUCAUGAUUUACAUUUGAGUGAGUGGCGAACUGGUGAGUAACACGUGGGAAACCUGCCCAGAAGCGGGGGAUAACACCUGGAAACAGAUGCUAAUACCGCAUAACAACUUGGACCGCAUGGUCCGAGCUUGAAAGAUGGCUUCGGCUAUCACUUUUGGAAGGUCCCGCGGCGUAUUAGCUAGAUGGUGGGGUAACGGCUCACCAUGGCAAUGAUACGUAGCCGACCUGAGAGGGUAAUCGGCCACAUUGGGACUGAGACACGGCCCAAACUCCUACGGGAGGCAGCAGUAGGGAAUCUUCCACAAUGGACGAAAGUCUGAUGGAGCAACGCCGCGUGAGUGAAGAAGGGUUUCGGCUCGUAAAACUCUGUUGUUAAAGAAGAACAUAUCUGAGAGUAACUGUUCAGGUAUUGACGGUAUUUAACCAGAAAGCCACGGCUAACUACGUGCCAGCAGCCGCGGUAAUACGUAGGUGGCAAGCGUUGUCCGGAUUUAUUGGGCGUAAAGCGAGCGCAGGCGGUUUUUUAAGUCUGAUGUGAAAGCCUUCGGCUCAACCGAAGAAGUGCAUCGGAAACUGGGAAACUUGAGUGCAGAAGAGGACAGUGGAACUCCAUGUGUAGCGGUGAAAUGCGUAGAUAUAUGGAAGAACACCAGUGGCGAAGGCGGCUGUCUGGUCUGUAACUGACGCUGAGGCUCGAAAGUAUGGGUAGCAAACAGGAUUAGAUACCCUGGUAGUCCAUACCGUAAACGAUGAAUGCUAAGUGUUGGAGGGUUUCCGCCCUUCAGUGCUGCAGCUAACGCAUUAAGCAUUCCGCCUGGGGAGUACGGCCGCAAGGCUGAAACUCAAAGGAAUUGACGGGGGCCCGCACAAGCGGUGGAGCAUGUGGUUUAAUUCGAAGCUACGCGAAGAACCUUACCAGGUCUUGACAUACUAUGCAAAUCUAAGAGAUUAGACGUUCCCUUCGGGGACAUGGAUACAGGUGGUGCAUGGUUGUCGUCAGCUCGUGUCGUGAGAUGUUGGGUUAGUCCCGCAACGAGCGCAACCCUUAUUAUCAGUUGCCAGCAUUAAGUUGGGCACUCUGGUGAGACUGCCGGUGACAAACCGGAGGAAGGUGGGGAUGACGUCAAAUCAUCAUGCCCCUUAUGACCUGGGCUACACACGUGCUACAAUGGAUGGUACAACGAGUUGCGAACUCGCGAGAGUAAGCUAAUCUCUUAAAGCCAUUCUCAGUUCGGAUUGUAGGCUGCAACUCGCCUACAUGAAGUCGGAAUCGCUAGUAAUCGCGGAUCAGCAUGCCGCGGUGAAUACGUUCCCGGGCCUUGUACACACCGCCCGUCACACCAUGAGAGUUUGUAACACCCAAAGUCGGUGGGGUAACCUUUUAGGAACCAGCCGCCUAAGGUGGGACAGAUGAUUAGGGUG